rnacentral:rRNA from 1 species
UGCAGCAACGCCGCGUGAGGGAUGACGGCCUAUCGGGUUGUAAACCUCUUUUAGUAGGGAAGAAGCGAAAGUGACGGUACCUGCAGAAAAAGCACCGGCUAACUACGUGCCAGCAGCCGCGGUAAUACGUAGGGUGCAAGCGUUGUCCGGAAUUAUUGGGCGUAAAGAGCUCGUAGGCGGUUUGUCGCGUCUGCUGUGAAAUCCCGAGGCUCAACCUCGGGCUUGCAGUGGGUACGGGCAGACUAGAGUGCGGUAGGGGAGAUUGGAAUUCCUGGUGUAGCGGUGGAAUGCGCAGAUAUCAGGAGGAACACCGAUGGCGAAGGCAGAUCUCUGGGCCGUAACUGACGCUGAGGAGCGAAAGCAUGGGGAGCGAACAGGAUUAGAUACCCUGGUAGUCCAUGCCGUAAACGUUGGGCGCUAGAUGUAGGGACCUUUCCACGGUUUCUGUGUCGUAGCUAACGCAUUAAGCGCCCCGCCUGGGGAGUACGGCCGCAAGGCUAAAACUCAAAGGAAUUGACGGGGGCCCGCACAAGCGGCGGAGCAUGCGGAUUAAUUCGAUGCAACGCGAAGAACCUUACCAAGGCUUGACAUACACCGGAACGGCCAGAGAUGGUCGCCCCCUUGUG